CAGUAGCCGCGGGAAUACAGAGGAUGCAAGCGUUAUCCGGAAUGAUUGGGCGUAAAGCGUCUGUAGGUGGCUUUUCAAGUCCGCCGUCAAAUCCCAGGGCUCAACCCUGGACAGGCGGUGGAAACUACCAAGAUGGAGUACGGUAGGGGCAGAGGGAAUUUCCGGUGGAGCGGUGAAAUGUGUUGAGAUCGGAAAGAACACCAACGGCGAAAGCACUCUGCUGGGCUGACACUGACACUGAGAGACGAAAGCUAGGGGAGCAAAUGGGAUUAGAUACCCCGGUAGUCCCUGUCUCUUAUAC
rnacentral:rRNA from 1 species